GGCCAAUUAUCUCCCAUUCUACAUUCAAAAGUAUAUAGAAACUAUAUAUUUUUGGAAUCAGUGUGAAAGAAGCUAUCAUAAGAGACCGGAUGUGACAUUCAUUUCACCGGAAGUAGCAUAUUAUCUCCCUUAUAUCACUGAAAAAGAUAAUUAAACCAUUAUUUAUCGCAUCAGUAUGAAGAAACUACCUUCUUAUCCAAAUUUCUUUGGUGUGGAAAGACUUUCAAUUGUUCUCUGAACAAUUGGUUUUUAAUUGUUUUUA
rnacentral:lncRNA from 1 species